rnacentral:sRNA from 1 species
CAAGCGAAGUGGACGUAUUCCAAAUCUGUUUAAAAAACGAGCAGCAAAGACUGGACUGAAUCAGAACAUGAUCAAUACUUCAACUGUCGGCGUGACAUCUCCCCCAAGUGAAGCGCCGACCUGGGUACCGACGGACUGUGUGCCCUUGUUUUACUCCUAAUGGUCUUAACCCGGAUUCACCCCCCAGAACCCGG